rnacentral:rRNA from 1 species
UAGGGAAUCUUCCACAAUGGACGCAAGUCUGAUGGAGCAACGCCGCGUGAGUGAAGAAGGUCUUCGGAUCGUAAAGCUCUGUUGUUGGUGAAGAAGGAUAGAGGCAGUAACUGGUCUUUAUUUGACGGUAAUCAACCAGAAAGUCACGGCUAACUACGUGCCAGCAGCCGCGGUAAUACGUAGGUGGCAAGCGUUGUCCGGAUUUAUUGGGCGUAAAGCGAGCGCAGGCGGAAUGAUAAGUCUGAUGUGAAAGCCCACGGCUCAACCGUGGAACUGCAUCGGAAACCGUCAUUCUUGAGUGCAGAAGAGGAGAGUAGGAACUCCAUGUGUAGC